UCGAUCAGGAACAAGGGCAGGAACCAGUAACGGAGGUAAGUGACAAUUUUGCGUGGUCACAGCUAUACGCUGCGAUGAAAAAUAUCAGUUGUCACAGUAAACAUAAUCGCGAACACCUGGCCUCGCCGCCGAUUGUAACGUCACAGUCACACCGGCUACUAAUGUACACAAAUUAUUACAAUGAUUGCAGCAUCCUGACGCAAUAGUACGCGUACUCUAGAGAAAAAAUAUUGGUGUGUUGUUGCUGUGCUAAUUGUUGCCAGUAUUAUGCAGGAGUAACGUAACACUCCCACAUGACAGCAAUAUUCUAAUCUUAUUGCAGCUAGUGGAUGUUUCUACAGUUCAUAGUGUAAGCCUGAUGGUAGCAUUCAGGGAUGUGAAAGCAUCGCAAUCUGUGUUUGGCUACGUCCGAGACACUUGCAUCAGUGUUCUACUGCAGCCUUGUUGCUAAUUUCUGGCUCUAUUUCAGGCGGCAGCAAGCACGUCAACGGAAUCAACUGGAUUUGAUGUGGAGGUCAUGGCUGAAGCAAGUACUGGGGACCCACUUCACGGCGCAUCUCACAAGGGGGUUGUCAUCCCCUGAUUCCAGGAAGAGGAAAACAAUGGACACAGACUUGCAUAGCGUAUUAGUACACCAGAUAUGGAUCUGCCAACAUGAACCCUCCUAACAUCCCUGUGGCAGCGUACCUGUAACCGCCCAGACUUCACACCACAUUAAUGUAGAACCACAGCACAACAUAAUAAAAUAGCUUAGGUUUAUUUGCCUCCCAUACAUAAUGGGAGGCAAAUAAACCUAUGCUAUUUCGUUAUUCCCACUCCGUCAUACUCCACUGUACAAUAAAUCGAUACAAUUAUA